rnacentral:rRNA from 1 species
CAGUCGCCACGGUAAUACGUAGGUCCCGAGCGUUGUCCGGAUUUAUUGGGCGUAAAGCGAGCGCAGGCGGUUAGAUAAGUCUGAAGUUAAAGGCUGUGGCUUAACCAUAGUACGCUUUGGAAACUGUUUAACUUGAGUGCAAGAGGGGAGAGUGGAAUUCCAUGUGUAGCGGUGAAAUGCGUAGAUAUAUGGAGGAACACCGGUGGCGAAAGCGGCUCUCUGGCUUGUAACUGACGCUGAGGCUCGAAAGCGUGGGGAGCAAACAGGAUUAGAUACCCCUGUAGUCCCUGUCUCUUAUACA